CUAUUCAGAAGGGGACAGUUUGC
rnacentral:miRNA from 1 species